rnacentral:rRNA from 1 species
UACGGGGGGGGCAAGCGUUGUUCGGAAUUACUGGGCGUAAAGGGUGCGUAGGCGGUUCGCUAAGUUGGAUGUGAAAACUCUGGGCUUAACCCAGAGCCUGCAUCCAAUACUGACGAGCUAGAGUUCUGGAGGGGGUAGCGGAAUUCCUGGUGUAGCGGUGAAAUGCGUAGAUAUCGGGAGGAACACCGGUGGCGAAGGCGGCGACCUGGGACAAUACUGACGCUGAGGUGCGAAAGCGUGGGGAGCAAACAGG